CUUAGUGGCGGACGGGUGAGUAACGCGUGGGGAACCUGCCCUGUACAGGGGGAUAACACUUAGAAAUAGGUGCUAAUACCGCAUAGGCGCACAGUAUCGCAUGAUACAGUGUGAAAAACUCCGGUGGUACAGGAUGGACCCGCGUCUGAUUAGCUGGUUGGCGGGGUAACGGCCCACCAAGGCGACGAUCAGUAGCCGGCCUGAGAGGGUGAACGGCCACAUUGGGACUGAGACACGGCCCAAACUCCUACGGGAGGCAGCAG
rnacentral:rRNA from 1 species